UACGGAGGAUGCAAGCGUUAUCCGGAUUUAUUGGGUUUAAAGGGUGCGCAGGUUGUUUGAUAAGUCAGUGGUGAAAGUCUGUCGCUUAACGGUAGGAUUGCCAUUGAUACUGUUGGACUUGAAUAUGGAUGAGGUAGGCGGAAUGUGUAGUGUAGCGGUGAAAUGCAUAGAUAUUACACAGAACACCGAUUGCGAAGGCAGCUUACUAAUCCAUCAUUGUCGCUGAGGCACGAAAGCGUGGGGAGUCAAACA
rnacentral:rRNA from 1 species